UUGAUAAUACGAAAUUAUUGUUAUUUAUAUGAAAAAAAUAGUCACAUAUUACGAAGUUCCUCUUUCUGAAUAUAUAAAAGGAACUCCUUCCAAAUUACGUGUAAGAUUAAUCAUUUAGUUGCCAACCGCGAACAUGAAAGUAGCUGCUGUUCUUUUAGUACUCUUUGUAUGUACUUUAGGAAUAAAUCAAGUACAUUCCAGAUCAAUUGAACUUGGAGACCUUCUUAGCGAUCUCGGAGACACUAUUGAUGGGGUAGCUGGUGUCCUUGGUGGGGUGGUGGGGGGGCUUAUAGGCAGCACAACUGGAAAUCAAGCACAAGAAACGCAGCCAUCGACACAACAAUAAUGACUCUUUUUCAACUUCAACCCACGAAUUUUUGUUCCUGGCUUCUGCAUUUCAUAUUUUGUACAUAAUGUAGAUUAUAUAAAUUUAAGCGAUGUGUAAAAUAAAUAUCACUGUUAACAUUAAUAAAAAUAUAAACACAUA